ACCAGACUUGGGCUUGGUUGAUCAUCCAGGGUUCUCCCUGGUGCACUCUUCCAGCCCAGGCCAGCAUCAGUUCGCUGUGGGGGAUAAAGGCCUUGGGAAUGUAGCUUCUUUCGGGGAGUGUUAUAGCCCUCGGUGCAAUGCCGCCUACCUGGACCGAGGACCGCGCUUCGGCUAGGAUGCUGGCGUAAUGGUUGUAAGCGA
rnacentral:rRNA from 1 species